rnacentral:rRNA from 1 species
CCCGGUGACAAGUUUAACGGCCUCGGUACCUAAGCGAGCGAAGGUAGCAUAAUCACUUGUUCUUUAAAUAGGGACCUGUAUCAACGGCAUCACGAGGGUUGAACUGUCUCCCCUCUUUAAUCAGUGAAUCUGACCUCUUCGUGAAGAAGCGAAGAUACUAAUAUAAGACGAGAAGACCCCAUGGAGCUUCAAACAAAGUAACACCCUCUUCUACCCCUACCAUAAUAAACAAGAGCCCUGUUAACUAGCUUUUGGAUGGGGCAUCCGAGGAGUAUAAUCUAACCUCCCUGACAACUUAUCUCAGAGCUACUACUCUAAGAAACAGUAAACUGAUGUAAUAUGACCCGAUUAUCGAUCAACGAACCAAGUUACCCUGGGGAUAACAGCGCAAUCCAUUUCAAGAGUCCUUAUCGACAAAUGGGUUUACGACCUCGAUGUUGGAUCAGGGUACCCCAGUGGUGCAGCCGCUACUAAAGGUUCGUUUGUUC